GGCCUAACACAUGCAAGUCGAACGGUAACAGGAAGCAGCUUGCUGCUUCGCUGACGAGUGGCGGACGGGUGAGUAAUGUCUGGGGAACUGCCUGAUGGAGGGGGAUAACUACUGGAAACGGUAGCUAAUACCGCAUAACGUCGCAAGACCAAAGAGGGGGACCUUCGGGCCUCUUGCCAUCGGAUGUGCCCAGAUGGGAUUAGCUAGUAGGUGGGGUAACGGCUCACCUAGGCGACGAUCCCUAGCUGGUCUGAGAGGAUGACCAGCCACACUGGAACUGAGACACGGUCCAGACUCCUACGGGAGGCAGCAGUGGGGAAUAUUGCACAAUGGGCGCAAGCCUGAUGCAGCCAUGCCGCGUGUAUGAAGAAGGCCUUCGGGUUGUAAAGUACUUUCAGCGGGGAGGAAGGCGAUAAGGUUAAUAACCUUGUCGAUUGACGUUACCCGCAGAAGAAGCACCGGCUAACUCCGUGCCAGCAGCCGCGGUAAUACGGAGGGUGCAAGCGUUAAUCGGAAUUACUGGGCGUAAAGCGCACGCAGGCGGUCUGUCAAGUCGGAUGUGAAAUCCCCGGGCUCAACCUGGGAACUGCAUUCGAAACUGGCAGGCUAGAGUCUUGUAGAGGGGGGUAGAAUUCCAGGUGUAGCGGUGAAAUGCGUAGAGAUCUGGAGGAAUACCGGUGGCGAAGGCGGCCCCCCUGGACAAAGACUGACGCUCAGGUGCGAAA
rnacentral:rRNA from 1 species